UAUUUAAGUCACAGUCCAUGCCCUUCUAACCCUAAUCCCCAUUCUCUCUUCCGUUCCCUCAGCCGCCACAACUGCCCCCACUCCUGAUUCCGGCGAUUCCGGCGGCUAUCGCCGGCGCGGUGCACACCGCCGAGCUCUCCUCGGUCGGCUCCAUCCUCCCCUCCGGCAAGAUUUUGCCAUCCCGACCUCUACCGCUCUCCCAAAACCCACACCCGUAUUAGGGUUUCGGCCUCCGGCAUCGCCUUCGUCAUCGGCGCAUCUCCGGCGACUCUUCUCGGUCGUCUAUAGCGCCCCCACGGGCUCACUAUCUUUCUGAUGGUCCACGUCCAGCAGGGCGGCGCGGAGGAGCUACUCCCGCAGGAUCGACGGGCGCGGCGCACCCUACAGACUCCGGUCCCGGGCUAGGGAGGGCACGGCGGCCUUGUCCUUCUUGUCGGCGGUGGCGGCGAACGCCGGUGCUCUCUCUCCUCCUCGACAUCCAAGGAGGAGCGCCGGUAUAGCACAAGCACGCCCAGCCCCUGAAUCCCACUUCUUCGCCCAUCCAGCGGCGUACAUGACGUGCUCCUCCUCGAUGCGGCCGUCCGCAACAAGCUCUCUUCGCCGGAAGAGGUGGAUCAGCAAGUCCAGCGUACCCUUGGCCUCCUGUCCUGCAGCGCUUGGACGAGCUCACCGGCUGCGUUCUGCCCUCCCAGCGUGGAUUCUUGUAGUGAGACGCCAACCCUGAUGCCUGGCGAAGCGAUGCACACGUCCACUCAUCCAAUUCAACAGCAACUCUACUAGUACUGUACACACAUGCCGCGCCGACCGACUAAUCAAACGAUUCGCUUCCAGCAAUAGCAACUGUCUUGUCUUCUCCAGGGGCAGUGGGUGCCGGUGGCAAUCAAGGAAAGGAGAUGAGUUAAUGGCGUCCGAUCGGCCUUUCAAGAGAGCCAGCGAGAGGGCGUGUCUGCACCGGCAGUGCGGAUCAACUGGAUCGGAGCACUACCAGCGAGCACAUGCUGUGGGAGCGAAUAAGGCGUGCGUGUUAUUGUCGGCGCAUUCACUCAUUCAUUCAUUCAUUCAGCAUGCAUGCUUGCUUGCUAGUACUACGACAGUAUACUACAGUACUGGUCUUCAUUUCCCAUUUUGCAUACGUGCUCCACAGCAGCACCAAUAUACGACUACGUACUACACGAGUACUGGUGUCUCAGUGUACUUGCGCAAAAUUCGUGCACCUUAAUUAUAAUUGGCCGUCGAGUGACCCA